UACGUAGGAGGCGAGCGUUGUCCGGAUUUACUGGGCGUAAAGCGCGCGCAGGCGGCAUGGCAAGUAAGGUGUGAAAUCUCCCUGCCUAACGGGGAGGGUGCAUUUUAGACUGCCAAGCUAGAGGACGGUAGAGGGGGGUAGAAUUGCUGGUGUAGCGGUGAAAUGCGUAGAGAUCAGCAGGAAUACCCGUGGCGAAGGCGGCCCCCUGGGCCGACCCUGACGCUGAGGCGCGAAGGCUAGGGGAGCGAACGGGAUUAGAUACCCCGGUAGUCCUAGCAGUAAACGAUGACCACUAGGUGUGGGGGGUGUUGACCCCUUCCGUGCCGAAGCCAACGCAUUAAGUGGUCCGCCUGGGGAGUACGGUCGCAAGACUAAA
rnacentral:rRNA from 1 species